UACGUAGGGUGCGAGCGUUGUCCGGAAUUAUUGGGCGUAAAGAGCUUGUAGGCGGUUUGUCGCGUCUGCCGUGAAAAUUCGAGGCUCAACCUCGAACUUGCAGUGGGUACGGGCAGACUAGAGUGUGGUAGGGGGAGACUGGAAUUCCUGGUGUAGCGGUGAAAUGCGCAGAUAUCAGGAGGAACACCGGUGGCGAAGGCGGGUCUCUGGGCCAUAACUGACGCUGAGGAGCGAAAAGCGUGGGGGAGCGAACAGG
rnacentral:rRNA from 1 species